CCUACGGGAGGCAGCAGUGGGGAAUUUUCCGCAAUGGGCGAAAGCCUGACGGAGCAAUACCGCGUGAGGGAGGAAGGCUCUUGGGUUGUAAACCUCUUUUCUUAGGGAAGAAAAAAAUGACGGUACCUAAGGAAUCAGCAUCGGCUAACUCCGUGCCAGCAGCCGCGGUAAUACGGAGGAUGCAAGCGUUAUCCGGAAUGAUUGGGCGUAAAGCGUCCGCAGGUGGCAUUUCAAGUCUGCGGUCAAAGGUCGAGGCUCAACCUCGAACAGGCCGUGGAAACUGAAAAGCUAGAGUGUGGUAGGGGCAGAGGGAAUUCCCAGUGUAGCGGUGAAAUGCGUAGAGAUUGGGAAGAACACCGGUGGCGAAAGCGCUCUGCUAGGCCAAGACUGACACUGAGGGACGAAAGCUAGGGGAGCGAAUGGGAUUAGAUACCCCAGUAGUCCUAGCCGUAAACGAUGGAUACUAGGUGUAGCUUGUAUCGACCCAAGCUGUGCCGUAGCUAACGCGUUAAGUAUCCCGCCUGGGGAGUACGCGCGCAAGCGUGAAACUCAAAGGAAUUGACGGGG
rnacentral:rRNA from 1 species